rnacentral:rRNA from 1 species
GACGAACGCUGGCGGCGUGCUUAACACAUGCAAGUCGAACGGAAAGGCCCUGCUUUUGUGGGGUGCUCGAGUGGCGAACGGGUGAGUAACACGUGAGUAACCUGCCCUUGACUUUGGGAUAACUUCAGGAAACUGGGGCUAAUACCGGAUAGGAGCUCCUGCUGCAUGGUGGGGGUUGGAAAGUUUCGGCGGUUGGGGAUGGACUCGCGGCUUAUCAGCUUGUUGGUGGGGUAGUGGCUUACCAAGGCUUUGACGGGUAGCCGGCCUGAGAGGGUGACCGGCCACAUUGGGACUGAGAGACGGCACAGACUCCUACGAGUGGCAGCAGUGGGAAAUAUUGCACUAUGAGCGGAGGCCUGAGGCAGCAACGCCGCCUGCGGGAUGACGGCCUUCGGGUUGUAAACAGCUUUCGCCUGUGAAGAAGCGCGAGUGACGGUAUUGGGUAUAGAAGCACCGGCUAACUACGUG